GUCCAGCCUGCCCAGUGACAUAGUUUAACGGCCGCGGUACCCUAACCGUGCGAAGGUAGCAUAAUCACUUGUUCUUUAAAUAGGGACUUGUAUCAACGGCAUCACGAGGGCUGUACUGUCUCCUUUCUCCAAUCAGUGAAACUGAUCUCCCCGUGAAGAAGCGGGGAUGAAUCUAUAAGACGAGAAGACCCCAUGGAGCUUUAAACCCAUCAUUCACCUCUGUAUAUUUAAAUCAACAUAACCCAAAAGGCUGUAUGCUGGUUUUAGGUUGGGGAGACCGCGGAGUAAAAUUAAACCUCCACGACAGACGGGCUAACACCCUUAUCUACGAACCACAAUUCUAAGAACCAAUAAAUUGUUGUCUAGUGACCCAAUAUUUGAUCAACGAACUAAGUUACCCUGGGGAUAACAGCGCAAUCUACUUCAAGAGCUCCUAUCGACAAGUGGGUUUACGACCUCGAUGUUGGAUCAGGGUGUCCUAGUGGUGCAGCCGCUACUAAAGGUUCGUUUGUUCAACGAUUAAAACCCUACGUGAUCUGUU
rnacentral:rRNA from 1 species